rnacentral:rRNA from 1 species
UACGGGGGGGGGCAAGCGUUGUUCGGAAUUACUGGGCGUAAAGGGCUCGUAGGCGGCCAACUAAGUCAGACGUGAAAUCCCUCGGCUCAACCGGGGAACUGCAUCUGAUACUGGAUGGCUUGAGAUUGGGAGAGGGAUGCGGAAUUCCAGGUGUAGCGGUGAAAUGCGUAGAUAUCUGGAGGAACACCGGUGGCGAAGGCGGCAUCCUGGACCAACACUGACGCUGAGGAGCGAAAGCCAGGGGAGCAAACGGG